rnacentral:rRNA from 1 species
UGCAGUCGACGAUGAAGCCUUYGGGUGGAUUAGUGGCGAACGGGUGASYWAYWCGUGGGCAAUCUGCCCUGUACUUUGGGAUAAGCCUGGGAAACUGGGUCUAAUACCGGAUAUCACCUUCCCUCGCAUGGGGGUUGGUUGAAAGUUCUGGCGGUACAGGAUGAGCCCGCGGCCUAUCAGCUUGUUGGUGGGGUAAUGGCCUACCAAGGCGACGACGGGUAGCCGGCCUGAGAGGGUGACCGGCCACACUGGGACUGAGACACGGCCCAGACUCCUACGGGAGGCAGCAGUGGGGAAUAUUGCACAAUGGGCGAAAGCCUGAUGCAGCGACGCCGCGUGAGGGAUGACGGCCUUCGGGUUGUAAACCUCUUUCGCCAGGGACGAAGCGCAAGUGACGGUACCUGGAUAAGAAGCACCGGCUAACUACGUGCCAGCAGCCGCGGUAAUACGUAGGGUGCGAGCGUUGUCCGGAAUUAUUGGGCGUAAAGAGCUCGUAGGCGGUUUGUCGCGUCGUUCGUG